GAUGAAGAACGUAGCGAAACGCGAAAGGUAAUGCGAAUUGCAGAAUCAGUGAGUCAUCGAAUCUUUGAACGCACAUUGCGCCUCUAGGUAUUCCUGGAGGCACGCCUGUUCGAGCGCCAUUACACACUCCAAGCUCUGCUUGAUGUUGGACGACCCGAGAGAUCGGACGUCUGGAACGUGUGGGCGUCGGGCGUCGGACCACGAGCGUAGCAAGACCAUCAAACAGUCAAGUCGUUCUGUGGAGCCGGCGGUCGACCGCCUCUUUUUACAACUGUAACCACAAGUUUGGCCUCGGAUCAGGCGGGGAUACCCGCUGAACUUAAGCAUAUCAAUAAGCGGAGGA
rnacentral:misc_RNA from 1 species